rnacentral:rRNA from 1 species
AUCUGCCCUGCACUCUGGGACAAGCCCUGGAAACGGGGUCUAAUACCGGAUACUGACCCGCUUGGGCAUCCAAGCGGUUCGAAAGCUCCGGCGGUGCAGGAUGAGCCCGCGGCCUAUCAGCUUGUUGGUGAGGUAAUGGCUCACCAAGGCGACGACGGGUAGCCGGCCUGAGAGGGCGACCGGCCACACUGGGACUGAGACACGGCCCAGACUCCUACGGGAGGCAGCAGUGGGGAAUAUUGCACAAUGGGCGAAAGCCUGAUGCAGCGACGCCGCGUGAGGGAUGACGGCCUUCGGGUUGUAAACCUCUUUCAGCAGGGAAGAAGCGAAAGUGACGGUACCUGCAGAAGAAGCGCCGGCUAACUACGUGCCAGCAGCCGCGGUAAUACGUAGGGCGCGAGCGUUGUCCGGAAUUAUUGCGCGUAAAGAGCUCGUAGGCGGCUUGUCACGUCGGUUGUGAAAGCCCGGGGGCUUAACCCCGGGUCUGCAUUCGAUACGGG